GCAUCCGUAGCUCAGCUGGAUAGAGUACUCGGCUACGAAGCGAGCGGUCGGAGGUGCGAAUCCUCCCGGAUGCACCA
rnacentral:tRNA from 1 species